GACGAACGCUGGCGGCGUGCUUAACACAUGCAAGUCGAACGGAAAGGCCCUGCUUUUGUGGGGUGCUCGAGUGGCGAACGGGUGAGUAACACGUGAGUAACCUGCCCUUGACUUUGGGAUAACUUCAGGAAACUGGGGCUAAUACCGGAUAGGAGCUCCUGCUGCAUGGUGGGGGUUGGAAAGUUUCGGCGGUUGGGGAUGGACUCGCGGCUUAUCAGCUUGUUGGUGGGGUAGUGGCUUACCAAGGGUUUGACGGGUAGCCGGCCUGAGAGCGUGACCGGCGACAUGGGGACUGAGAUACGCAGCAGAAUCCUACGGGAGGCAGCAGUGGGGAACAUUGCACAGUGGGCGGAAGCCUGAGGCAGCAACGUCGCGUUCGGGAUGACGGCCUUCGGGUUGUAAACCGCUUUCGCCUGUGACGAAGCGUGAGUGACGGUAAUGGGUAAAGAAGCACCGGCUAACUACGUG
rnacentral:rRNA from 1 species